GGGGCGGCUCAGGUGGGACCGGGGUGGAGGACCGGGAUAAGGGACUGGGAUAAGGGAGCGUGUCCCGGCACUAACUCGUGGGCUGGGCGGCGUCAGCCCGGGCUAGGGCUAAACCCGACGUGCCUGAGGAAGCGACAGCGAGAUGCGGAGAGUCCUGCUCCGCCUGCACGGCCCCGGCAGCCUCUGUCCCUUCCUCCAUCCUUCCCUCUCUCCUUCCCUCCAUCCGUCCUGCUCCGCCCUGCGCCCGAUGAGCGAGUGCUUCUCUGCUUGUCCCUGGUGACCUCCCAGAUUUCCGUAUGGGGGAUUUUGUACCCGGCUGAACUCCCGCUAAGUAGCAGCUGCUUGGUUAAAUAAGGUCUCCCAAGGAUAACAUUGUUAAUCUCCAAAGAUGACAGCUGUUGCAGUGCUAGAGGAGGUGCUGGCUUCCAUUGAGAAUGAGCUGCAAGCAGUGGAGAUGCAGAUACAGGAGCUUGUGGAUAAACAGCAGGAACUCAUUCAAAAGAAGAUGAGAGUGAAGAAUCUGAUAAAACAGUCCUCAGGAGACGUGGAGGCAGGUGGAAGUAAAGACACCGAAACCUCAGCCGAGGCAUGGAACAAAAAAGAUUUUCCAUGGUAUGAGAAGAUAAAAACUGCACUGCAGGGCAAAUUUAAACUCCAGAAGUUUAGGUCACUGCAACUUGAAACAGUAAAUGCUGCAAUGGCAGGAAAGGAUAUAUUUCUUGUCAUGCCUACAGGUGGUGGCAAGAGCCUUUGCUACCAGUUACCAGCUGUCUGUUCUGAUGGUUUCACACUCGUGAUAUGUCCUUUGAUAUCUCUUAUGGAAGAUCAGCUCAUGGUUUUGGAACAGCUUGGUAUUUCUGCAGCUUCAUUAAAUGCCUCGAGCAGCAAGGAACACGUGAAGUGGGUCCACAGCGAAAUGCUAAACAGGAAUUCACAACUGAAGCUCAUUUAUGUGACCCCAGAGAAGAUUGCAAAGAGCAAGAUGUUCAUGUCCAAGCUGGAGAAGGCUUACCAGGCCGGGUGUCUGGCUCGUGUUGCUGUGGAUGAGGUCCAUUGCUGUAGUCAGUGGGGCCAUGACUUCAGGCCUGACUACAAGUCUCUUGGUAUCUUGAAAAGACAGUUUCCCAAUACUCCCUUGAUUGGAUUGACAGCAACAGCUACAAAUCAUGUUUUAAAGGAUGCUCAGAAAAUUUUGCAGGUUCAGAAGUGCAUUACCUUUACUGCCUCGUUCAACCGGCCCAACCUGUACUAUGAGGUUCGGCAUAAACCUUCAAAUAAUGACGAUUUCAUUGAGGACAUAGUUAAAACCAUUAAUGGAAGAUACAAAGGACUGUCAGGAAUUGUUUACUGUUUUUCUCAGAAGGAUUCCGAGCAAGUUACUGUGAGUUUGCAGAAACUGGGAAUCAAGGCAGGGACUUACCAUGCAAACAUGGAUGCUAAAUAUAAAACCAAAGUUCAUAAAGGAUGGGCAGCAAAUCAAAUCCAGGUUGUAGUGGCAACUGUUGCUUUUGGCAUGGGAAUUGAUAAACCUGAUGUGAGGUUUGUAAUUCAUCAUUCUAUGAGCAAAUCCAUGGAGAACUACUACCAAGAGAGUGGACGUGCAGGUAGAGAUGACCAAAAAGCUGACUGCAUUUUGUAUUAUGGUUUUGGAGAUAUAUUCAGGAUCAGCUCAAUGGUAGUGAUGGAAAAUGUUGGGCAAGAGAAGCUCUAUGAUAUGGUAUCUUACUGCCAAAAUAUGAACAAGUGUCGCCGGGUGCUCAUAGCCCAUCACUUUGAUGAGGUGUGGGAUUCUGCAAACUGCAACAGAAUGUGUGAUAACUGCUGCAGAGAGAACGCAUGUGAGAAGAUGGAUGUAACAGGAUACUGCAGGGAUCUAAUCAAGAUACUUGAGCAAGCUGAAAGCAUGAGUGAGAAACUCACCCCACUGAAACUAAUUGAUGCGUGGUCUGGGAAAGGUGUGUCCAAGUUCAGGGUGGCUGAAGUUACUCCACCAAAGCACCCUCGAGAGGAACUGGAGAGAAUUAUUGCCCAUCUACUGCUGCAGCAGUAUCUGAAGGAAGACUUCAGCUUCACGGCAUUCGCUACAAUAUCCUACCUGAAGGUGGGACCCAAAGCCCAUCUGCUGAGAAACGAGGCCCAUGUCAUCACUAUAGAGGGGAUAACAAACAGGAAGAGUGUUCACAAGGUCAAACCAUCUCAACCUUCAAAUUCGAAAGGAAGCAGCGAAAAUGCUCAGACUGUUUCAAAGGCUGUCCAGGAUUCAGUGGGGAAGAAGUUACAGGAGCAUAAGCGGCCUGGCUGUGGGUCUAACUUAAAAGCAAAGAAGCCAAAGCUUGAGGCAGGUGGAGUUGACCAACCAGUGGUUAUUGACUGAGUUUCACAGACUACAUUUAGGAUCUAAUCACGUUUACUUCUCCAUGGACAAUGCACCCAUAUUCCAGGUGGUGAGAGCUCUGAGCAUCCUGUAUCCUAAAACUGUUCAUCUGAGCCAGCUGGACAGAGCUGUGGCAGGUACUCACUGGUGUGAGCAGGGGAGUGGUGCCA